AACCAGUAUGCUUAAAUCGUUGGGUGUUCCUGUCUGUAAAGAAUUCCGAGUGUAAAGGAAUCUGACUGCCGGUUUCAAAGCUUUCGGUUUCACGAACUCCCGUAUGCCUAAAUCACCGCCAUUGAAGUGCUGCCUUUAAACUUCUGGCCACUGAGAUCAGUGUUGUUUCAACACAGAUUACCAAAGCUGAGCACAUCAAAAGAAAAAGGCACAUAGUUUCCCACACCACACACCUGGAUGGAACGAUGUUAGUUUUUAAAUGACAAGUCUUCCUUACCAAUAAACAACGUCCAUUUGAUGAAUCUUCAACAGUCGAAACCCCGUCAUGUUUGUUGGUGCUGUCUUGGCUUGGAGAAAGCAGAGCUGCAGAGAGCUUUUAAAAACCCAGUUAAAAAUUAUAUAAAACACAGACCCAUUCAUGGCUCAUUUGUUCACAUUUGAUCGGCAGUUAACUAUUUGUCAAGUACUGAAUAAAACCCAUAUUCUGUAUAUUAUAGUUUAUUCCAAAUACAUGCAUACCAUGUGUGUAAAAACAGAAGCAGUACCGUCAUGCCCUUCUUUAGAGAUUUUAUAUCAAUUAGUUUCACUUGUCCAUUUGGUCUUACUGUAUUAAUAUUUACGAGGGGCAUCUACACUUAAAUUUCACUUAUGCUUUGCACAGGAUAAUAAAAUACAUUAAAAAGGCAUUUGGGAUAAACACUGUGUACAUGGACUUUUUGAUAAUGCUCUAAAAUGAUUAGCAAAAGGCCACUUCAUAACCAUGCUUGCAAAUCAGAAAAUAUUGCAUGAGUCCAGGAUUGAUUACGACACUUUCCCCUGGUUUCACAGAUGAAGCUUAAGCCUAGUCCCAGACUAAGAUGUAUGUUUGAGCUGUUUUAACUGAAAGUUACUUGCAUGGACGAAUCUUAAAUUAUCAGCGCCAUUGUUUUAUCUCCAGAUGCACACCAGUUUCUAAGGCACGUUUAUAAAAGCCACUUAAAUGUCCUAAUUGAUCGAAGGCCUGAUCCUGGUUUAAUGUAAAAUCCUGUCUGUGAAACCGGGCCUUUAUCUUCUAGUGAAGGAGAAGAACAUUCAUUAAGCCUGUAAUAAACUUUAUCUUUAAAUAGUAAAAAAAUUAAGGACACUUUAAUGUAAUAACCACUGAAAGCAUCACGGUGAAUAUAGUCAAAAAUAAGGUCAAAUAUUUCACAAGACCUUGAAGGGGGAUUGUUGUGACUUUUUUUCACAAUACCGGUCUCAAAUACAGAUUAUAAUGAGCUCUGUUUGAACAAAAAUCCAUAACAUUUGUAAUGGACAAGGUGCAUUACAGCUGGUUCUGGAUUGCCAGAUGGGGACACAGAUGUGGGGAUGAUGGUGAUCUGUGCAUUUUAGGAUGAAACAUCUCCUAAGGUGUUUGGUGAAGAAAGGAAAUUGAAAAAGAUGAUGGAGCAUUUUAUAAUGAAAAAAUGUACAAGAUACUUAAAAUACUUAUUUCUCACAAACAGCAUCAGGCUAUCAACCCCAAAUUAAUGACGAUAAACACCAUGUACAAUGCAGCAACAUGUACACAAGACCGUUAACAACCUCUAUACUAGAUACCACACGGCUGUGCCAAUGAAAUCAGAUUGAUGUAUGAUUCACAAUAUUGAUAUAAAUAAAGUUC